CCCUUAGAUGUUCUGGGCCGCACGCGCGCUACACUGACGGAGUCAACGAGUUGUCCUGCAUCGGAAGGUGUGGGUAAUCUUUUGAAACUUCGUCGUGCUGGGGAUAGAUCUUUGCAAUUUUCGAUCUUGAACGAGGAAUUCCUAGUAAGCGUGAUUCAUCAGAUCGCGUUGAUUACGUCCCUGCCCUUUGUGCACACCGCCCGUCGCUACUACCGAUUGAAUGGUUUAGUGAGGCCUCGGGACUGGCGCGCUCGAGUAGCAAUACACCUGCGCGCCGGGAACUUGGUCAAACUUGAUCAUUUAGAGGAAGUAAAANUCGUANCA
rnacentral:rRNA from 1 species